GAUGAAGAACGUAGCGAAAUGCGAUACUUGGUGUGAAUUGCAGAAUCCCGUGAACCAUCGAGUCUUUGAACGCAAGUUGCGCCCGAAGCCAUCAGGUUGAGGGCACGUCUGCCUGGGCGUCACAUAUCGUUGCCCAAUGCCUAUUGCAGUGCAAUAGGAAUUUCUAGGGCGAAUGAUGGCUUCCCGUGAGCGUUGUUGCCUCGCGGCUGGUUGAAAAUCGAGUCCUUGGUAGGGUGUGCCAUGGUAGAUGGUGGUCGAGUUAGAACGAUACCGAUCAUGUGCAUGCUCCCCAAAAUAUGGCCUCUAUGACCCACACGCGUCUUUUGACGCUCAUGACGAGACCUCAGGUCAGGCGGGGCUACCCGCUGAAUUUAAGCAUAUCAAUAAGCGGAGGA
rnacentral:misc_RNA from 1 species